GAAAGAAGGGUGUAAAUGAUUAAUUUGCAAUUAAUUUAAAGAGUAUGAUUA
rnacentral:tRNA from 1 species